rnacentral:piRNA from 1 species
UGCCAUCGAGUCUUGUUGAUCUCAAACUCA